rnacentral:rRNA from 1 species
GACAGAGGUUGCAAACGUUGUUCGGAAUUACUGGGCAUAAAGCGCACGUAGGCGGUUCGUUAAGUCAUGUGUGAAAUCCCCCGGCUCAACCGGGGAAUUGCGCCUGAUACUGGCGGGCUAGAGAUCGAUAGGGGUGAGUGGAACUCCAGGUGGAGCGGUGAAAUGCGUAGAUAUCUGGAGGAACACCGGUGGCGAAAGCGGCUCACUGGAUCGAUACUGACGCUGAGGCACGAAGGCCAGGGGAGCAAACGGG